rnacentral:rRNA from 1 species
UGGGGAAUAUUGCACAAUGGGCGCAAGCCUGAUGCAGCAACGCCGCGUGAGGGAUGACGGCCUUCGGGUUGUAAACCUCUUUUAGCAGGGAAGAAGCGAAAGUGACGGUACCUGCAGAAAAAGCACCGGCUAACUACGUGCCAGCAGCCGCGGUAAUACGUAGGGUGCAAGCGUUGUCCGGAAUUAUUGGGCGUAAAGAGCUCGUAGGCGGUCUGUCGCGUCUGCUGUGAAAUCCCCGAGGCUCAACCUCGGGCCUGCAGUGGGUACGGGCAGACUAGAGUGCGGUAGGGGAGAAUGGAACUCCUGGUGUAGCGGUGGAAUGCGCAGAUAUCAGGAAGAACACCGAUGGCGAAGGCAGUUCUCUGGGCCGUAACUGACGCUGAGGAGCGAAAGCGUGGGGAGCGAACAGGAUUAGAUACCCUGGUAGUCCACGCCGUAAACGUUGGGCGCUAGAUGUGGGGCACCAUUCCACGGUUUCCGUGUCGCAGCUAACGCAUUAA